rnacentral:rRNA from 1 species
CCUACGGGUGGCUGCAGUGAGGAAUAUUGGACAAUGGAUGGAAAUCUGAUCCAGCCAUGCCGCGUGCAGGAAGACGGCCCUAUGGGUUGUAAACUGCUUUUGUGUGGGAGCAAUAAGGUCUAUGCGUAGACUGAUGAGAGUACCAUACGAAUAAGCAUCGGCUAACUCCGUGCCAGCAGCCGCGGUAAUACGGGGGAUGCAAGCGUUAUCCGGAUUUAUUGGGUUGAAGGGGGUCUGAUGCGGCUUGGUAGGAAUAUUGCAGCUUAACUGAAAGGGUGCCGUUGAUACUGUCAGGCUUGAAUAUGGUUGCUGUGGGUGGAAUGUGUGGUGUAGCGGUGAAAUGCUUAGAUAUCACACAGAAUAUCGAUUGCGAAGGCAGCUCACAAAGCCAUUAUUGACGCUGAUGCACGAAAGUGUGGGGAUCAAACAGGAUUAGAUACCCCAGUAGUC